rnacentral:rRNA from 1 species
UACGAGAGGCCCAAGCGUUAUUCGGAUUUACUGGGCUUAAAGAGUUCGUAGGCGGCGCGGAAAGUGGGGUGUGAAAGCCCUCGGCUCAACCGAGGAACUGCAUUCCAAACUACCGCGCUCGAGGGAGAUAGAGGUGAGCAGAACUGAUGGUGGAGCGGUGAAAUGCGUUGAUAUCAUCAGGAAUACCGGAGGCGAAGGCGGCUCACUGGGUCUCUUCUGACGCUGAGGAACGAAAGCUAGGGGAGCAAACGGG